CAGAAAUUGGUUUCACUUUCUUUUAUCCCCUCUUUAAUUAGUCACUUUUCUGCUAUACCUCAGGGGAGGCUGUGCUCCAGGGACCAAGAACGGAAGCCUGAGUGGGCAAACACUUACCCUCCUCAUAGGUGCCCACGAAAUCCCCAGGCUCCCCGCCUCCCCACUCUGCACCGUCUCCUCUCCAGCCUGGAUUCCAGUCCAGGCAGGAACUCAUGCUCCAGCAAGGAGUACCCCUUGCCACUGCAGACCACCACAGAAUGAGAGAGGCCAAAGAUAAGUGUUUCUCAAAACGUGUCUGAACACCGCUUGCAAUAGGUGUUGCAAGAGCCCUUCCAGGGAGCCCACCCUCAAUCAAAAUCUCUAGGGCUGAGGCCUAGGAGCCUGGGCUUCCCAGGCAGUUCUUAUCCAUGCUGAAGUUUGAGAGCUGAUACCACCUAACCCUUCAGAACAUCUAAUACUAAGUACCAGUAAUGGAACCCCUCCAGAUGACAAAGGUGGAGCUCCACAGAGCAAGCCGGAUCUUCUAAAUCAUGACAGUGGGUUUACAAAUGUUCCCAAAGCAGGCAAUUAAUGCUCGUGGUAGAAGAAAGCUAGGUGACAGCAGGGGUGGGAGGAGGAAACAUCCUAAUUCAAUUUAAAAAUCACAAAUUCUGAAGCCUGAGUCUUCUUCAAAACAUGUUCUCAAUCAUGUCUCCUUAUUCUGAAGCCUACACAACUGACUGGGAACACAUCUUUGUUUUGUAGAAACCCAGCUCAUGGCACCUGGAGCUGAUGAAUGGCCCUGGUGCUGACUGCCCAGAAACCAAUCCGGAAACCAGGCUUCCCACAGAAGAGGCAGCUGGAGAGCCAAGCACUCUUGGACUACAGUCCUAGGCUGGAGCUGCCAAUACAGGCUCUGCCCAGCUAAUCUUCUCUGAGCCUGCAAAUAUUAAACCUGACAUACAGACUCAAGUGAAUCCAGAAAACAGGCUCACAGGGCAGCUGAAAAUUCCAAGUGCCUAAGUGAGAUCCAGUGCGACAGUGGAGCAUGUGUGCGCAGAGGAGACAGGAACAACAACCGGGAUGUCAUGCGGGCGCACUGGGGCUCCUUGUGGCCCCAGUGCACAGAAUUCUGGUGGACCCACCAUGUGUGGGAGCUCAGUGAGACUCAAAGUAAGUGCAAGGCCCUCCUCACACAUCGUACGCUGAAGGUGGAGCACACUGGGAAAAUGUGCAUGCAUCAAGAAGAAAAAUGAAAACUGAUUUUGUGCAACAUUUCCACUGUUCUUGGAAGAAUGAAAUAAAUGCAUAUGAGCUAUGAAAUAUGGAUUGUAUAAUUCUAGUGAUUCUGCAUAUAAGUCAGAUGAUCUUAUUGAAAAUUGGCAUUGUACAAUAUAAAGAUGAACAGAAGAGUUCAUACUAAUAAUUUAAAAUUUUAAUUCUUCCUUUUUAGAAGAACAUGGGCAGAUUAAAAAUACCACCACACAUCAGGAAAGAAACCAGAAAAGAAAGAAAACAGCUUUCUAUUUUAAUGCUUUUAACAGUACUUAUGUCUGCUUUUUGAAAAGGAGCCCCACAGAUUAAGUACCCAGUCCUGGGCACGGGAAUACCCUGGGAUUGCUUUACAACCUCAAUUAGCUCUCCUCUCCUCCAACUGGUACCCUGAGAAAGACUUGGGUCCAUGCCACCAUCAUCUCUGGCCUGGACUCCUAAUUGGCCUCCCCGCUUCCCUCCUGAUGCUUCCCAGUCCAUUUGUCACUCAGCUGCCCAGAACAACCUAUUCAAAAGGCAGACCUGAUCUUGUUGAUGGUCCCUUCCAUACCCUCCCUGAUUAUAACUCUUCCCACCCCACUCAAAAUAAAUCCAACCAAGGUCUACAAAAUCUACCUCGUCUGCACACCCCACUGGCCUUGCCCUCACUCCAUACCCAGCCCCACUGGCCAACUUGCAGAUAAUCAAAGGUGCCGCAAUCCAUCCGGCCACAAAGCCUAGCACUUGUCCUGUGCCCUCUUUCUGAAACACUCCCCUGUCUCCCCACCUAGUUACUGCCCCUUAGCCCAUUAGAUUCUCCAUGAAGGGUCACUUCCUCAGGGAAGCAGUCUCCUCGCAUUCCCUAUCCACCCCAGGGGUACACUCUCAUAGCUCCCCAGAAUUCCC
rnacentral:lncRNA from 10 species